UUGCAACGUCUUUUUGCAGUUUCCAAUCGAACUGUAGCAAGUGAUUCUGUUUCUACAAUUCGAUUUAAAACUUCGUCAACUAAUUGUACAUAUGUCAUAGGUAUCUUUUCGUCUCCGAAUUCGGAAGGAAAUCUUGCCCUCCGCCCAAAAACAACUUCGUGAGGAGUCAUGCCAGUGGACUCGUGAACAGAAGUAUUAAAGGAAAAAAUGGCAAACGGAAGCCAUUGGUCCCAGUUACUCCGCUCACUGUAAUUGCGUUCGAGAGUUUAAUUAUGGAAUGGGGUGUAGUAAGCACCCCAUCGCAUGACACGAAAUUCAAGAUAUUAUCAUCUCUCAUCCAAAGUUUAUCUCGACUCAACUGAAAUAACGGAUUAAAACGUCAUCAUCAGAAUCUUCAGCAAAAAACUCAACAUCGGUACUUCCUUGAAGACAGGUGCCCAUAGGACGCAACCUUCUUCUAAAAUCA